UUUUUCUCAUCUAGAUAAUCUUCAUUUCUAGCAAAUAUUAUAAAGGUAUAAGAAAAAAAAAAGAACUUAGCUACACACCUAGGUAUUACAUAUAAAUAUAAUAUGCUUUGCUCUUUCCUUUGAAAUUUGACAUAUAUUUUGAAUAUAGGUUAAACCAUUUUCAAAAAGGUAUAAACCGUGCAAAAUAUAAUCUUUAAACCAUAUAUGUUAUAAUGGUUUCAUACAGAUAUUUGAUAUUUGCACACCAUGCGAA